UCAUCGUCGUCAAAAUCGUCUUCAUUGUUGUUGUUGUCGUUGUUGUUGCUUAUGUCAUUGUUGUCACUGUAGUUGUUGUUGUUGUUGUUGUUUUUGUUGUUGUUGUUGUUGUUGCUGUUGUUGUUGUUGUUGUUGUUGUUGUUGUCGUUGUUGUUGUUGUUCUCGUCAUUGUCUUUGUCAUCGUCGUCGUCGUCGUUUUUGUUG
rnacentral:lncRNA from 1 species